rnacentral:misc_RNA from 1 species
AUUUAGUUUCUAUCCCAAUUUAAAAGAAAGCGGAUGAGUAAAGAUUACCAGUAUACUAAACGUUCAAGUGGUGGACUGCAUGACAAUUUUUGUUUUUGAACAAUUCGGAUUUCACGAAAACAAUCAAUUAGGAAGUAGACCAUCUGUAUGAUCGGCGAUGGGUAGACUGUUUGGUAUUCUGAUUUGGAUAUUAUUGUUUGUAUUCAUGAAAGGACAGAUCAUUUUUGAUGAUUUGGAUGAUAAACACAGGUCAGUAGACUUGACAUUACAGUUAUUAAGAAUCGAGCUACAGCAAUUCAGUCAAGGUAUGGAAAGGAUAUUGAUGAACAAACUUGAUGGCAUCGAAAACAGCAUCGAGGUAAAAAUAAGUAGUAAGAUAGAGACCCAACACCGACUGUUAAAAGACGAUGUGGUGUCUCUAACGAACAGAUUAUCUGAGAAAGUUGAUGAGAAUAUCAUUCAUCUAAAUGCCAUUGCUCAGACCCGUGAGCUACUUAUACGACAGGAAAUGGUGUCACUGGCGACUAAUUUGUCUGGGAAAGUCGAUGAAAAAAUCAAUGAUCUUAUUGAUAUAGCUCAGACCGAGCAGCGAUUCCUAACACAGGAAGUGGUGUCUCUUACGACCAAUUUGUCUAAGAAAGUCGAUGAAAAAAAUGGUGAUCUACAUACCAUAGUGCAGACUAUUCAGCCACUCCUAACACAGGAUUUGGUAUCUCUUACAACUAAUUUGUCUGGGAAAGUCGAUGAAAAAAUCACUGAUUUAAUUAACAUAAAUCUAACUGAGCAGCGAUUUCUACGUCAGGAAAUGGUGUCUCUUCGACCAAUUUGUCUAGGAAAGUCGAUGAAAAAAUUGGUGAUCUAGAUACAAUAGCUCAGACCAUUCAGCCACUCCUAACACAGGAAAUGGUAUCUCUUAUAACUAAUUUGUCUGGGAAAGUCGAUGAAAAAAUCACUGAUUUAUUUAACAUAUCUCUAAUCGAGCAGCGACUUCUACGACAGGAAAUGAUGUCUUUUGCGACCAAUUUGUCUGGGAAAGUCGAUGAAAAAUUCAUUGAUUUCAUUAACAUAACUCUGACCGAGCAGCAACUCCUAAGACAGGAAAUGGUGUCUGUAGCGUCCAAAGUUGAGACUCUGCUGAACAAUAGUGAGAUAAACAGGUUAAAGGAAAGAGAAAAUGUUCUUGACGAUAUAAGAAAUUCGAGUGUAUAUGUAUAUGUAACCGAACAGAUUUCCUCAGGAGAAGUAAUACAAAUUCAAUUAUGUAACAUUACAUAUUCCGAUUGUAAUGGCAUUUUGGAGAAAAAUCCAAGUUUGAAGGGAAAGAACGGUGUCUACAAUAUCAGGGAUUCAAAUAAAGCAAAGACCGUGUACUGCGAUAUGACAACUGAUAAUGGUGGAUGGACGGUUGUUCAGCGGAGAUUGGAUGGGUCGAUAGACUUUUACCGUAAUUGGACGGAAUACAAGAACGGAUUUGGAUUUGCUAAUCAUGAGUAUUGGAUAGGAAAUGACAUGUUACAUAGACUGACCUCGCUGAAGCCUCAGGAAAUGCGAGUAGACAUUGAGAGAUUUAAUGGAGAGAAGGCCUAUGCUGUUUACUCAUGUUUUUCUGUCGGGGACGAGGCCAAUAAUUAUAUACUUAGUGUGCAGGGAUACAGUGGAAAUGCAGGAGAUAGCCUGAAUUACCACAAUAACAUGGCGUUUACUACACGGGAUCAGGAUGAUGACAGAUGGAGCGGCGGAAACUGUGCCACCGACUGGGGUUCCGCUGGGUGGUUCAAUAUAUGUUUCAAGGCCAACCCUAAUGGACAGUAUAUAGACUCUGAGAAGACAAAUGAUCCUAAAUACCUUGUAUGGUAUCACUGGAAAAACUCGUGGGUGUCUCUGAAAUCGAUGAAAUUGAUGAUUCGUCCUCGAGCUUGACAUCAAGAUUUAACUGGAUUUUUCUUAUGAAGUCCUAAACUGCUGUUCAGUUAUAUCCGUGCGGAACACGAACUCAGAUUUAUUUGUGAGACAAGUAGUUUGCAUUAAGUAUUUUUUUUUUUACAUCAAAAAUCGUAUAUACAAGCUGUUUCUUUGUACACGAACGAAAUUACUAAACACAAAAUGGUUUAUUGUUAAAUGUUGAUUAAAACUUAAAAUGU